AUAAAUCCAGUUUAAAUCCUUAUGCUUACAUGCCGUUCGGAAUGGGUCCCCGUAAUUGUGUCGGAAUGCGUUUUGCAAUGGAAGAAAUUAAAAUCGCACUUUGUAUCAUCCUCAAGCAGUAUCGCUUCUUUCCCGUCCAAGAGACUCCCGACGAAAUGAAAUUUGAAGAUGGUUUGUUCGUCCAAACAGUUUGUUACCGUAGGGAACGAACUUCGCCAGUAAUGGAGUUUUGUGUUAAUAAUCUGGACAAUCAAUCGACUCCUCGCUUCUAAGCUUUGCGAAAAACUAGAAUUUGUUUGACAUUUUCGAUGUUUUUUUUUUUUUUCAAUAGUCAGAAUUUUUUAUGGGCCUUACAGCUGAAAUUAUCUGCUGGACAUGUUUAAAAUCAACUAAACGCGAGCCGAAAAUAUACGGUUGAAACUGUUCCUGCCUGUGUUCUGAACAACGAAGAAGAGGUUCUACCCAUAUUCCAGCAAGCUUGAUCCUCACAGUGAAACUAUAUUUAAUCAGCUGUACGUCUUUGACGGGCGAGUUUAUGUAGUCCGAGGCGACGUAAAAGGUGGAAUCCUGAUAGCGAUAACAAACCGAAACCUUACGGUUUCAUGCCGUUUGCUAUGGGACCGCGAUAUUGCAUCGGAGGCGGUUUGCCAUGAAAGAAAUGAAAAUUGUGCGAUGCACAAUUGUGACGAAAUUCCGUUUCUUUCCUGUGAUUUUUUCCUACACUUACACUCCUACAGAGAAGAUCCGUCUGAUUUUUGGAGAAUUUCAAGAGAUGUCGUUUUUGGCC